GACGAACGCUGGCGGCGUGCCUAAUACAUGCAAGUAGAACGCACAGUUUAUACCGUAGCUUGCUACACCAUAGACUGUGAGUUGCGAACGGGUGAGUAACGCGUAGGUAACCUGCCUGGUAGCGGGGGAUAGCUAUUGGAAACGAUAGCUAAUACCGCAUAAUAUUAAUUAUUGCAUGAUAAUUGAUUGAAAGAUGCAACUGCAUCACUACCAGAUGGACCUGCGUUGUAUUAGCUAGUAGGUGAGGUAACGGCUCACCUAGGCGACGAUACAUAGCCGACCUGAGAGGGUGAUCGGCCACACUGGGACCGAGACACGGCCCAGACUCCUACGGGAGGCAGCAGUAGGGAAUCUUCGGCAAUGGACGAAAGUCUGACCGAGCAACGCCGCGUGAGUGAAGAAGGUUGUCGGAUCGUAAAGCUCUGUUGUAAGAGAAGAACGGGUGUGAGAGUGGAAAGUUCACACUGUGACGGUAUCUUACCAGAAAGGGACGGCUAACUACGUG
rnacentral:rRNA from 1 species